CAAUAGCGUAUAUUAAAGUUGUUGCGGUAAAAAAGCUCGUAGUUGGAUUUCUGUUGAGAGCGACCGGUCCAUACCAUGUAUGCGUAUCUGGCUUGCUCUCGGCAUCCUCUCGAUAGACGUUACUGCGCUUGAUUGCGUGGUGCGGAUCUCGGGACUUUUACUUCGAGGAAAUUAGAGUGUUCACGGCAGGCUUUCGCCAGAAUACAUUAGCAUGGAAUAAUACUAUAGGAUCUUGGUUCUAUUUUGUUGGUUUCUAGAAUUGAGAUAAUGAUUAAUAGGGACAAUUGGGGGCAUUCGUAUCAACACGUCAGAGGUGGAAUUCUUGGAUUGUGUUGCGACGAACUACUGCGAAAGCAUUUGCCAAGGAUGUUUUCAUUGA
rnacentral:rRNA from 1 species